rnacentral:rRNA from 1 species
UACGGAGGGGGCGAGCGUUGUCCGAAGUUACUGGGCGUAAAGCGCACGUAGGCGGCUUUGCAAGUCAGAGGUGAAAGCCCGGGGCUCAACCCCGGAAUUGCCUUUGAGACUGCAUCGCUAGAAUUGUGGAGAGGUAAGUGGAAUUCCGAGUGUAGAGGUGAAAUUCGUAGAUAUUCGGAAGAACACCAGUGGCGAAGGCGACUUACUGGACACAUAUUGACGCUGAGGUGCGAAAGCGUGGGGAGCAAACAGG